CGCGGGGCAACCUGGCGGCGAGUGGCGAACGGGUGAGUAAUAUAUCGGAACGUACCCAAGAGUGGGGGAUAACGUAGCGAAAGUUACGCUAAUACCGCAUACGAUCUAUGGAUGAAAGUGGGGGAUCGCAAGACCUCAUGCUCCUGGAGCGGCCGAUAUCUGAUUAGCUAGUUGGUGAGGUAAAGGCUCACCAAGGCGACGAUCAGUAGCUGGUCUGAGAGGACGACCAGCCACACUGGAACUGAGACACGGUCCAGACUCC
rnacentral:rRNA from 1 species